ACCAUGUUCAUCUACAAAUGUAAUUCGAAUAGGACCUUUAAGUAACUUCCCAAAAUUGUAAAAAGCGUCAAAUCCAUCAUCGAAAAUACGAUUUCGACGAAUAACUGCAUGUUUUAGAUGACCAAACGGCUGGGCAUAACCGUUAGCUUGUUUAUCUAAAAGAAGUAGUUGCUGAAGCAAAUGAAUGCGAAAAUGGAAGGGAAGGAAAAAAGAACAGUUAUUUAGGAUAUUUAGCCUUGGUCGGGACUCGCUGAAGUUAUCGAAUUUGUAAGUAAUAUUAAUUUCCGCUUCA